AAAGUCGUAACAAGGUCUCCGUAGGUGAACCUGCGGAGGGAUCAUUACCGAAUGGCCCUCGGGCCAUCGACCCUUCAAACCCGUGGAAGACAGAAGAUUGUGCUUCGGCGCCCCGGCGUCGUGUUUAUGCAACCCAGCCGCCUGUGUCUGAAUCAAACCUAGAAUUAAAACUUUCAACAAAGGAUCUCUUGGCUCUC
rnacentral:misc_RNA from 1 species